AAUGAACGUUGGCGGCGUGGAUUAGGCAUGCAAGUCGAGCGAGAACCGUAGCAAUACGGGGACAGCGGCGUAAGGGAGAGUAAUACGUAGGUACCUACCUUCGGGUCUGGGAUAGCCGCGGGAAACUGCGGGUAAUACCAGAUGAUGUCUUCGGACCAAAGGUGUGAUUCCGCCCUUAGAGGGGCCUGCGUCCUAUUAGCUUGUUGGUGAGGUGACGGCUCACCAAGGCCAUGAUGGGUACGGGGUGUGAGAGCAUGCCCCCGCUCACUGGGGCUGGGCAACUGCCCAGACACCUACGGGUGGCUGCAGUCGAGGAUCUGCGGGAAUGGGGGCAAGCCUGACCGAGCGACGCCGCGUGUGGGAUGAAGGCCUUCGGGUUGUAAACCACUGUUGGAGGGGAGGAAAUGCCAGGGGGUUCUCCCCUUGGUUUGACCUAUCCUCUGAGGAAGGACGGGCUAAGUUCGUGCCAGCAGCCGCAGUAAAAC
rnacentral:rRNA from 1 species